rnacentral:misc_RNA from 1 species
CAACCCUUAAGCUUAGCUUAGUAUUGGGAAUCUGCUUAACCGCAGCUCCUUAAAUCUAGUUGGCAGAGCACAGCUGUACUCUGAGCGUAGUAAUUCAUUAUCUCGCUUUCUGAAGACAGUUGUACGAUCGCCAUAAACCUAUUUAUUUUUUAAUGG